rnacentral:rRNA from 1 species
AUGGCUCCUACCGAGGCUGAGGCUGAUGUAGAGGAGGGAGAAGAGAAGAAGAAGAGGGAAAGGAAAGCAGCUGGAGCUGCUUUCACGUGGAUUCAAAAUAACUUUGCGACGUGCCCUUUGGAUGCCACUGAUGAUGUGAUCCAGACACAUGCUCGUGUGUAUAUGUGGUACGUUGUGUCGAGGACUUUGUUUCCUGACUCCACUGGCAAGAACGCUCCAUGGAUGUGGCUGAAGGCGUUGACCGUCUUCGAUAGCAAAUGGAGCUGGGGUUUAGCGACUCUUGCCUACUUGUACCGACAGGUAGUUGGUCUAUUUUGUGAUCAACUCACUUCUUCAUUAGCAAUGCAAGCUUGCUGUCAAGUUAACAUUGUUUUUUUCUUUCAUAUGUAG